rnacentral:rRNA from 1 species
GAUGAACGCUGGCGGCGUGCCUAAUACAUGCAAGUCGAGCGCAAAGAUCAGGAGCUUGCUCCUGUGAUUUGAGCGGCGGACGGGUGAGUAACACGUAGGCAACCUACCCUUGAGAUUGGGAUAACUACCGGAAACGGUAGCUAAUACCGGAUACGACCUUUCCACAUAAGUGGAAUUGUUAAAAGGCGGAUUUAUCUGCCGCUCAUGGAUGGGCCUGCGGUGCAUUAGCUAGUUGGUGAGAUAGUAGCUCACCAAGGCGACGAUGCAUAGCCGACCUGAGAGGGUGAUCGGCCACACUGGGACUGAGACACGGCCCAGACUCCUACGGGAGGCAGCAGUAGGGAAUCUUCCGCAAUGGACGAAAGUCUGACGGAGCAACGCCGCGUGAGUGAUGAAGGGUUUCGGCUCGUAAAACUCUGUUGUUAAGGAAGAAUACUUGAGGUAGUAACUGGCCUUGAGAUGACGGUACUUAACCAGAAAGCCACGGCUAACUACGUGCCAGCAGCCGCGGUAAU